rnacentral:rRNA from 1 species
UAGGGAAUCUUCGGCAAUGGACGAAAGUCUGGCCGAGCAACGCCGCGUGAGUGAAGAAGGUUUUCGGAUCGUAAAACUCUGUUGGUAGAGAAGAACGUUGGUGAGAGUGGAAAGCUCAUCAAGUGACGGUAACUACCCAGAAAGGGACGGCUAACUACGUGCCAAG